CCUGUCCUUCUUUUAGGCUUGGGUGGGAGAGCGUCAGGUCUCUCGUCUCGCUCGCGCGCCCAGUAGAAACCCUAGCUCAAAACCCCCCGCCUCGCUCGCCGGAGUGCCCGCCGGACCGGACGCCCGCCCGCCAUGGACGCGAUGCGGAAGCAGCUGGACGUGCUCAUGGGGGCCAACCGCAACGGCGACGUGCGGGAGGUCAACCGCAAGUACUUCGACCGCGACGUCUGCCGCCUCUUCCUCGCCGGCCUCUGCCCCCACGACCUCUUCCAGCUGACGAAAAUGGAUCUCGGACCUUGCCCCAAGGUCCACUCGCUUCAACUGCGGAAAGAUUACGAAGAAGUAAAAGCAAAGGGGUCAGAGAAUUUUGAUAGAGAACUUGAGGAUAUGAUAGACAGGCUCAUUGUGGAGUGCGAGAGGAAAAUUCAGAGGGCGCUCAAACGUCUCGCCGAUGAGGAUGCCAAGGCUGCUAUUGCUAUAUCUGUCUCCGAGGUUACUCAGGCUGAAGAUGUAGCGCAGCUCUCAAAGGAGAUCAAGGAGAAAAUGAAAGAAGCUGAUAACUUCGACUUUGAAGGGAAAACUGAUGAUAAAAUCAAGGCCAUGGAAGUGGUGGAAGAAUUAAGAUCUAAAAGGGCUGACAUGCAGGCUACCCUCUUGCUUGAUGCCUUUAACAAGGACAGAGCUUCAAUACCUCAGACUACUCCAACCCCUCAAAUAGCACCAGUACCAGCACCUCCUCCUCCUGAUGCUCGUACUCAAGAACUGAUCAAUGAGAAGCUAAGUAAAGCUGAAGCGCUUGGUGAACAAGGUCUGGUCGAGGAAGCCCAAAAGCUUUUGGAGGAAGUAGAAACUCUAAAAAAGCUGGCGGCACGUCAGGAGCCAGCCUCUGAUCCUUCUAAAUACACUGUUGCUGAUGUUCGAAUUACUGAUCAGAAGUUACGCCUCUGUGACAUAUGUGGAGCAUUUCUCAGUGUCUACGACAAUGAUCGGCGCCUUGCUGACCAUUUUGGAGGGAAGCUACACUUGGGAUAUAUGCUAAUCCGUGAGAAACUGAAAGAACUCCAGGUACAUUCUUGCAUGCCCAAAAGUACAGUUAUGAUUUUUGGGGGGCUCUUGAACUAAGUUUAGAAUUUCAGAUAUUGUACACCUGAAAGGCAUGAACAUGUUAAAAUCAAUAAAUCCACACAAUUUUGUUAAGACUUGCAUUCUGUUUCUCAGAUUAGUUUAUGGCUCUUUUUGGUUGUUUCUCCCAAGUUUGUUGAGGUGCAAAUUUUGAACAUCUUUAUCAGGUGCUGAAUGUAAUGUUCCAUUUUCUGCUUUAAAGAGUUACUCUGUUUUGGGCCUUUUGGCAUCUGUGAGUUUUCUUAUCUCAAGGAAGAGCCUCCAGGUUCCUGCCUUCUCUAUUUGUUAUUUUAUCUCACAUUGGAGGGCGCCAUGGUUGUUACGAUAGUCAUUACAGGAAUUAGUCAAUGUUGCAUAAGUGGAAUCUCAUGUGACAAUCAUCCUUCUUCCCAUGGCAACAACAGCUGCCACUAUAUGUUGACAAACGUAAGCAUAGGAGUGAGCAGAGCAUGAAGCUGGAGGUUGCUUUCUGCUUGGUGAUCCAUUUUUUGUAGAGCUGGUGAUAAAUAGUACCGGUUAAGUUACUCUGAAAGCACCCCCUUUUGCCAUCUUUUGCUGUAAGUUACAACUUAUUCAAAUGCUCUCUGCUCCAUAAGUAUGUAAGUUGUCACUGGACGCUGUAAGUUACAACUUAUUCAAAUGCUGUCUGCUCCAUAAGUAUGUAAGUUGUGACUGGACUAAUCUCAACUGUAAUGUAUCUCUUGCCUUUCAUUUAGACGCUUUCCUUUAUUAUUUGUCGUCAUGCAAGUCAAGAUAUAUCUCCAUUUGGUAAGUAUAUCUAUAUUCUGAAAAAAUGUCAUUAAUAAACAAUGCCAUAUUGCCUUCUAGGAGGAGAGGAACAAAAGAAGGACAGAGAAACCUGAAGAUGACAGACGAUCGAGAGAACAGAGCAAGGACCGCAACGGGAGGGUUUCAAGGGAUAGAGAUGCAGAGAGAAAGGACAGAGUUGAACCUCGAGAAAG